rnacentral:rRNA from 1 species
UACGGGGGGGGCAAGCGUUGUUCGGAAUUACUGGGCGUAAAGGGCGCGUAGGCGGCCUUCUAAGUCAGACGUGAAAUCCCUCGGCUCAACCGAGGAACUGCGUCUGAUACUGGAAGGCUUGAAUUCGGGAGAGGGAUGUGGAAUUCCAGGUGUAGCGGUGAAAUGCGUAGAUAUCUGGAGGAACACCGGUGGCGAAGGCGGCAUCCUGGACCGAUAUUGACGCUGAUGCGCGAAAGCCAGGGGAGCAAACGGG